ACGUGAGAAUUUGCCUUUAGGAGGGGGACAACAGUGGGAAACCGCUGCUAAUACCCCAUAUGCUUUCGAGUAAAAUGGAUUUAUCCGCCUAGAGAGAAGCUCGCGGCUGAUUAGCUUGUUGGUAAGGUAAUGGCUUACCAAGGCGACGAUCAGUAUCUGGUUUGAGAGGAUGAUCAGACACACUGGAACUGAGACACGGCCCAGACUCCUACGGGAGGCUGCAGCAGGGAAUAUUGCGCAAUGAGCGAAAGCUUGACGCAGCGACACCGCGUGUGGGAUGACGGUUCUAGGAUUGUAAAC
rnacentral:rRNA from 1 species